AGGCGCACUAAUUAAUUAAUGCCGGCGGCUUCUACCAAGUCCUGAGACCCCAAGGGCGCUCCCCGAAGGAUGCGGCGGGGACGGCAGCGGGACAAGGAGCGGGACAGCGGCAACAGCACAGGGAAGCAUCUGCCGUGGCCAACCCAACCUCUCCCAUGCAAACCCUGCAGCAGUGAUAAUGACGAGACCGACAGACUUAACGCAGAACCCCGUGCUGGAGCUGCCCAAGAGGAAGGACGGGUUAGGGCUCCUGAGGCUCUGUGGGGAUGGACACCAUGGUGCCACGUGCCCCCCAGCCCACUGACCAUAUAGGGUUCUCUAGUACCCUACUCUUGCAGCCUAGAGCAAAACACAGUUGGAUGCAGCAUCCUGGUACCCAGAAUUUGGAUCCCAGGAGAAGCAUUAGCCAACCAAGGGGUUACAUGGGACAUGGCAGCUCUCUCUUUCUUGUUGAAGAAAAUCCCAAUAAAUAAAAUAUGAACUUCA